CCUCCGGUCGGCUGUUUUCUGCGCUUUCGAGGCGAUUGACGCGGGUCAUGGGGGGCGCAGCGCCCCGAUGCUGUUCUCCCCAGUGUCUCUUCUCGGGUCUGCGCUCCUUGACUCGACUCGGGUAGCCUGACAUCGGCUGUGGUGGGGAGUGUUUAUACCACAGACAUCGGGGAGCGUUACAACCCGGGCCCGCCCUUCCCAAGCGGCGGUUGUGAAACACGCAACAGCACACGGCCGACUUUGAGGAAUCUCAGCACUAAUGUGUGUGCAUAGCUUUAUGGACGCACAACUGGCCUCGGAUAAGCUACACAUAUUUAAAGUGUCCAGUUUGAUGAGUUUGGCCGUAUGAGUACAUCCGUUAAGCGGUCCCCGCAGCGGAGAUUCCCAUCCCCUUUGAAAGUUUCUUCUUGCCCUCUGGAAUCCGUCCCUCUUCUCCCUGGGCCACCUCUGAUUUGCUUUCUAGCCCUGUUGAUUAGUUUGCAUGUUCUAGAAUUUUGAAUAAAUGGAGACUCUAGUAUGUACUAUUUUUUUUUUCUUCUUUCUGAGUCUGGCUUCUUUCACUUAGUAUAAUGUUUUUGAGAUUCAUCCACGUUGCUCAUGGAUCAGUAGUUCGUUUCUUUUUAUUGCGAAGCAGUAUUCCACUGUAGGCAUACACCACAAUUUGUUUAUCCGUUCACCUGCUGAUGGGCGUCUGAGUUGUUUCUAGUGUUCGGCUAUUACGAAUAAAGUCGUUCUAAAUAUUUA